GAUAAGGUUAAGUGAAUAAGGGCGCACGGUGGAUGCCUUGGCACUAGGAGCCGAUGAAGGACGGGACUA
rnacentral:rRNA from 1 species